CCUACGGGAGGCAGCAGUAAGGAAUAUUGGUCAAUGGACGAAAGUCUGAACCAGCCAUGCCGCGUGAAGGAUGACGGCCCUCUGGGUUGUAAACUUCUUUUAUAUGGGACGAAAAAAGGGAAUUCUUUCUCACUUGACGGUACCAUAGGAAUAAGCACCGGCUAACUCCGUGCCAGCAGCCGCGGUAAUACGGAGGGUGCAAGCGUUAUCCGGAUUCACUGGGUUUAAAGGGUGCGUAGGUGGGUAGGUAAGUCAGUGGUGAAAUCUCCGAGCUUAACUCGGAAACUGCCAUUGAUACUAUGUAUCUUGAAUUUUUUGGAGGUGAGCGGAAUAUGUCAUGUAGCGGUGAAAUGCUUAGAUAUGACAUAGAACACCAAUUGCGAAGGCAGCUCACUACGAAAUUAUUGACACUGAGGCACGAAAGCGUGGGGAUCAAACAGGAUUAGAUACCCUGGUAGUCCACGCCCUAAACGAUGGAUACUCGACAUCAGCGAUACACUGUUGGUGUCUGAAGCGAAAGCAUUAAGAUCCCACCUGGAAGUCGACCGNAGUAGAACAGAAAGAUGACGNNGAGAGAGACGAGACGACGACGAGGAGGAGG
rnacentral:rRNA from 1 species